rnacentral:sRNA from 1 species
GAUCCCAGGGUCUGAGAGAGAGCCAAGAUGAAUAUGGCCUUCCAAGAAGACAUGCUGACAAGAAAAGACUCAGAGUGCCCAGGAGCUUCCCCUUCCUACCAACCCUGCAGCCUGGAACCCUAGCCAUACCUCUCCCUGACUGUGGACAGUACAGCCUUUGAGCUGAGCCAAGCUGCUCCCCUGGCGAUUUCCAUAAGAGUACCACUUAUCAGCACCUUGGACAGCAUACAAAUGAUUCUGCAUCUCCAGGAAGAACUGGUCCUUCAGCCAAGGGCAGCACUGAGCCCCAAGUGGCCCCAGAUGAGUGCAAAGGACUACCAGUUUUGAUCAGCGACUGGUUGAAUCCGUGGAUGCAAAACCUGUGGAUACAGAGGGACAGAGGCCUACUGUACAUGGCACAUGCUCGCUUCCCCACCCCAGCCUGGGCACUCCUGUUCGACUGAGACCAGGAUUAUUCCCACCUCCCAAGAGCAGAGAGGGCUCAGAUGCACAGCCUCUGCCUUCGUGGAGUGGGCAUUUUCAGGAAGUGCUUAGCCUCCAAGUAUGGGCUACUUAUUUUCAACAAUUACUUUCACUCCAAGACGUACAUAAUUUUUUAAACAUGGGAAUCCCUGAUGUUUCAUUUUUGUUUUGGAAAUGAUUUUUAGAGAAGAUGAAUUAUCCUGUCUGAUGCCAUGAGAUCUAUUUUUAUCAUUUGGGAUGUUGAGACUAAAACUGACAACAUAUUUAGUAUUGCUUAUAGUACUCAGUGACACUGCCUCCCUUUGAAGCCCGCCAGAGAGCCACCAUGCAGGAACAUGAGUUACUAAUUAAUUCAACCUGCUCACUGGGACAAAAUGGGAAGGAAGGACCCACAUUUGACACAGAUAAAGUGGAGCAUGUUCAAAGCGCCAGGACACCAAGGGAUCAGGAAAUUAUGUCUCAAGGGAAGGGCUGAAGAAAC